rnacentral:tRNA from 1 species
AUAGAUAUAUGUUAAUGGUAAACUUAAUGUCUUCCAAACAUUGAAUGUGAGUUCGAUUCUCACUGUCUAUA